UACGUAGGUUGCAAGCGUUGUCCGGAUUUAUUGGGCGUAAAGAGCGUGUAGGCGGCCUGAAAGGUCAGCUGUGAAAACUCGAGGCUCAACCUCGAGACGUCGGUUGAAACCAUCUGGCUAGAGUCCGGAAGAGGAGUGUGGAAUUCCCGGUGUAGCGGUGAAAUGCGCAGAUAUCGGGAAGAACACCCAUGGCGAAGGCGGCACUCUGGGACGGUACUGACGCUGAGACGCGAAAGCGUGGGGAGCGAACAGG
rnacentral:rRNA from 1 species